GAUGAACGCUAGCGGCAGGCUUAAUACAUGCAAGUUGAGGGGCAGCAUGAUAUACGCGAGUAUAUUGAUGGCGACCGGCGGACGGGUGAGUAAUAGGUAGGAGACCUACCUCAUACAGGGGGAUAGCAUAGAGAAAUCUGUGGUAAUACCCCAUGAGGUUAUAUGAAUAGAGGCAUAUAAUCAAAGCAUAAGCGAUUAUGCGGUAUGAGAGGGGCCUACUGACCAUUAGCUAGUUGGUGAGGUAAGGGCUCACCAAGGCGAAGAUGGUUAGGGGUUUUGAGAGAGAGACCCCCCACAUUGGAACUGAGAGACGGUCCAGACUCCUACGGGAGGCAGCAGUAGGGAAUAUUGGGCAAUGGGCGAAAGCCUGACCCAGCCAUGCCGCGUGAAGGAAGACGGCCUUAUGGGUUGUAAACUUCUUUACUACGCGAAUAGAGGUUAGUACGAGAUACUAAAUAGGAAGGUAGUGUAGUAAAAAGCACCGGCUAACUCCGUGCC
rnacentral:rRNA from 1 species